rnacentral:snoRNA from 15 species
GCCCUGUGGUUGCUGGAUGCUGUUGUGCAAGUACAGCUCUCCAGUGCAUAGCAGUGGGCCAGAGCAAUCCUGUGGUUUAUGCAUGGGGUCUGCUCUCCCUCAGCAGUCGCCAUAGCCCGGCCACUGGCACAUGG